UACGGAGGGUGCGAGCGUUGUCCGGAAUCAUUGGGCGUAAAGGGCGCGUAGGUGGCCCGGUCAGUCUUUGGUGAAAGCGCGGGGCUCAACCCCGGGUCGGCCGUGCGAACUGUCGAGCUGGAGCACUGUAGAGGCAGGUGGAAUUCCGGGUGUAGCGGUGGAAUGCGUAGAGAUCCGGAAGAACACCGGUGGCGAAGGCGGCCUGCUGGGCAGUGGCUGACGCUGAGGCGCGACAGCGUGGGGAGCAAACAGG
rnacentral:rRNA from 1 species